GAUAGGAGGAGCCGCAAUGAACGCAGUUCAUACUCGGAAUCGGCUCUGACAACCUGCCCCGCUGCGGGGCAGAGGGGCGAUACAUAUU
rnacentral:sRNA from 1 species